GAUGAACGCUGGCGGCAGGCUUAAUACAUGCAAGUCGAACGGUAACAUGUCGGAGCAAUCUGAUGAUGACGAGUGGCGCACGGGUGCGUAACGCGUAUGCAACCUACCCAUAACCGGGACAUAACGUUGAGAAAUCGGCGCUAAUAUUCCAUGUGUAUAUUUUGUGGCAUCAUAGAAUAUAUAAAGAUUAAUUGGUUAUGGAUGGGCAUGCGUAUCAUUAGCUAGUUGGUGGGGUAACGGCCUACCAAGGCUGCGAUGAUUAGGGGUUCUGAGAGGAUAACCCCCCACACUGGAACUGAGACACGGUCCAGACUCCUACGGGAGGCAGCAGUAGGGAAUAUUGGGCAAUGGAGGCAACUCUGACCCAGCCAUGCCGCGUGAAGGAGACGGUCCUAUGGAUUGUAAACUUUCUUUUAUCAUAGAGUAACCGCAGGGACUGUCCCUGCCUGCAAGUAUAUGAUGAAUAGC
rnacentral:rRNA from 1 species